rnacentral:piRNA from 1 species
UCUUGGAGAAAUGAACAAAUC